rnacentral:rRNA from 1 species
GACGUAGGAGGCGAGCGUUAUCCGGAAUUACUGGGCGUAAAGCGCGUGCAGGCGGUUCGGUUAGUUGGAUGUGAAAGCUCCUGGCUUAACUGGGAGAGGUCGUUCAAUACUGCCGAACUUGAGAGUGGUAGAGGGAGAUGGAAUUCCGCAUGUAGUGGUGAAAUGCGUAGAUAUGCGGAGGAACACCAGUGGCGAAAGCGGUCUCCUGGCCCACUUCUGACGCUCAGACGCGAAAGCUAGGGUAGCAAACGGG